rnacentral:rRNA from 1 species
UUUCCUUUAGAAAAAAUUACAAGUCGUUGGUGAACAGCGGAGGGAUCAUUACCGAGUUUACAACUCCCAAACCCCUGUGAACAUACCCAUUGUUGCCUCGGCGGGAUCGCCCCGGCGCCUCCGGGCCCGGACCCAGGCGCCCGCCGCAGGACCCCAAACUCUUGUUUUCUAUACGAAUCUUCUGAGUGGACACAAGCAAAUAAAUUUAAAACUUUCAACAAACGGAUUCUCUUGGUUCUUGGCAUCGAUGGAAGAACGCAGCGAAAUGCGAUAAGUAAUGUGAAUUGCAGAAUUCAGUGAAUCAUCGAAUCUUUGAAACGCACAUUGCGCCCGGCCAGUAUUCUGCCGGGCAUGCCUGUUCGAGCGUCAUUUUCAACCCUCAAGCCCCCCGGGCUUGGUGUUGGGGAUCGGCCCCGCCCCCUCGCGGCAGGCCGGCCCCGAAAUCUAGUGGCGGUCCCGCUGUAGCUUCCUCUGCGUAGUAGCAACACCUCGCACCGGAACGCGGCGGCGCCCUGCCGUAAAACCCCCAACUUCCAAUGGUUGACCUCGGAUCAGGUAGGAAUACCCGCUGAACUUAAGCAUAUCAAUAAGCGGAGGAAAAGAAACCAACAGGGAUUGCCCUAGUAACGGCGAGUGAAGCGGCAACAGCUCAAAUUUGAAAUCUGGCCCUCGGGUCCGAGUUGUAAUUUGUAGAGGAUGCUUUUGGUGCGGUGCCUUCCGAGUUCCCUGGAACGGGACGCCAUAGAGGGUGAGAGCCCCGUCUGGUCGGAUACCAAUCCUCUGUAAAGCUCCUUCGACGAGUCGAGUAGUUUGGGAAUGCUGCUCUAAAUGGGAGGUAUAUGUCUUCUAAAGCUAAAUACCGGCCAGAGACCGAUAGCGCACAAGUAGAGUGAUCGAAAGAUGAAAAGCACUUUGAAAAGAGGGUUAAACAGUACGUGAAAUUGUUGAAAGGGAAGCGCUUGUGACCAGACUUGGGCAUGGUUAAUCAUCCAGCGUUCUCGCUGGUGCACUUGGCCUGCCCAGGCCAGCAUCAGUUCGGCGCGGGGGAUAAAGGCUUCGGGAAUGUGGCUCCCUCGGGAGUGUUAUAGCCCGGUUGCGCAAUAACCCUGGCGCUGGACUGAGGUUUCGCGCAUCUGCAUGGAUGCUGCAAUAAAGGUCAUCAGCGACCGUUUUUAAAAAACGGAAAA